rnacentral:rRNA from 1 species
GUCGUAACAAGGUUUCCGUAGGUGAACCUGCGGANNGAUCAUUACCUAGAGUUUGUAGACUUCGGUCUGCUACCUCUUACCCAUGUCUUUUGAGUACCUUCGUUUCCUCGGCGGGUCCGCCCGCCGAUUGGACAACAUUCAAACCCUUUGCAGUUGCAAUCAGCGUCUGAAAAAACAUAAUAGUUACAACUUUCAACAACGGAUCUCUUGGUUCUGGCAUCGAUGAAGAACGCAGCGAAAUGCGAUAAGUAGUGUGAAUUGCAGAAUUCAGUGAAUCAUCGAAUCUUUGAACGCACAUUGCGCCCCUUGGUAUUCCAUGGGGCAUGCCUGUUCGAGCGUCAUUUGUACCUUCAAGCUCUGCUUGGUGUUGGGUGUUUUGUCUCGCCUCUGCGUGUAGACUCGCCUUAAAACAAUUGGCAGCCGGCGUAUUGAUUUCGGAGCGCAGUACAUCUCGCGCUUUGCACUCAUAACGGCGACGUCCAAAAGUACAUUUUUACACUCUUGACCUCGGAUCAGGUAGGGAUACCCGCUGAACUUAAGCAUAUCA